rnacentral:lncRNA from 1 species
GUGCUCUAGACUUAUCAUUUUAACAUUAUCCGUUGAUUAUUGUAGACGUUUGUUGUAAUUAUGAACACAGUUUGAUCAUUAGUUAGAUGUCGGAGUUAUUAUGCUAAUAGAUUGAUACGGCGCCGGAAACCUAUUUUAGCGGAAGAGACAAUAUACUGUGGAUUCAUUAUUAUUCGUUGGAUACCAAUUUUCGUUGGUUUCGUGGAUACAGGUAAACCACGAAUUCAAAUGUUCAACGAAUAUCAUGUUUUCAACAGGCUUUGUAUACAGAGAUUGGCAAAACCACGAAAUAAAAUAUCCACGAAUAUACAAAUUUUCAGCAAUCCACGAAAAUUGAUACCAACGAAAAUAAAUGAAUCCACAGUAACACAAAGUUACUUUCAUUUAUUACUAAAAACCGGAAUAGAAAUAUCAAUCAAAUCAAGAAACAGAUAAAUGUGCUUCUGCAUAUUGUUCUUUUAAAAUCAUG